rnacentral:siRNA from 1 species
UAAUUACAGGGAAUGCCACUGC